ACGCUCGACACCUACGGGAGACAGCAGUGGGGAAUAUUGGGCAAUGGGCGCAAGCCUGACCCAGCAACGCCGCGUGAAGGAAGAAGGCUUUCGGGUUGUAAACUUCUUUUAUUAAGGACGAAGCAAUGACGGUACUUAAUGAAUAAGCCCCGGCUAACUACGUGCUAGCAGCCGCCGGUAAUCUGAGCGGGCUGGCAAGGCU
rnacentral:rRNA from 1 species